CUUCCUAUUUGUACGAACUUGUACCCGGCACUAUCAACAUGACCCUGGAGUUCAUGAGCCUCUUCUGUUUGUCUUGGGCUCAAGCUGAGUGCAAUCAAUAAGCAUCUACGAAGAAAACAAUCCGACGGUCUUAAAGACGUUAUCAUUUUUCUCCCCAACUUCAAAAUCGCUGUCUUCGCCAUGAACGUGAAGAAACGAGAUCAAUCUCUAGGGCAGAUAUCUACAGUAUAGUUACUCCACUCCCCAUGUUCGGGGAGUAAAGUGAUGCCACCGCAAGCGUGAUAUGUCUUGGUGGGAAAGAAAUGGAAGUCUCUUGCUUAAUGAUGAUCUUUUGUCACCUCGAAGUCCUGAUAGUUUUGGGGCGGGUAACAUGGCAUCCAGGGCACGACCAAUGUCGACGAUUCGGCUUCAUGUGUGAUCCAACCCCAAAGCAAACACUUAAGCGACGACAACGAGUCCUUGGCCAAGGCAAAAUAUGAUGGAUGCGGUGUAGCACGUUUGGUUUUCUCUUUCACGGGAAAUCAUGCCAGAUUAUCAAUCGACGCCAUUUUUCGUUAGCGCAAAAUCUUCAUUCGCACUAAGCUAGCCGGAACAAAGGAGGGGAAAAGUCGACUAGCAAGCAGACACGAGUACUGCCAUCGAGUGGGGGUGAUAAUAGCCAAUAACGCGAUCGGAAAGACACGUGUGAGUGGACUACUAUUCUGGAGGAAAACUUGUUCAAAGUGAUUAAAAUUGGCAUGAGCAUCCAUGCAAGGCAAAAUGACGACUGUCUUUAUUAGUUUCCUCAUCAUCACCGUCAUCUCAUGUGGAAAGGAACUUCAGCUGUUCUACUUUAGAUUUAAAGAGGCGCAGCACAUGAUUCGAUUUCCUUCAUCACCAACUCCAUACGUAGACACACGUACUGAUGGGAUAAUUCGGACUUCAAGUGUGACCAAAUGGCAUGAGUCCGGCUCAAGCACGCAAUCCACAAUUUCUUUCCAAGAACUGAUUCACUUUUUUUUCCAACAUCAAGCCAAGAAUUGGCAGAACUUUGGCUUCACGAGCGUCAUUUCGUGCACAUGAAUGUCGUAUUAAACAUAAGAGAU